AAACCAAGCUGUUGCAUGGAGUGCAAGAACUCGUCCCUCUGAAGUUUCUCAUGGAGGGAGGAAUCAAGAUGCAUCCUCUGAAGUUGCCAUGAAGAGCUCGGUUUCCCAGCUUUCUACAUCCAAAUCUGCUUCAGUUAAGCUUGCGCAGGAUGACAGUGUUACCAGAUCUGCAUCUGCCUCUCCUGGUUCUAUGAAACCAGUUUUAUCACCUGCAUCAGCAAGUAUUAACUCGAAAGAUGGUUCUUCCAGGAAUCCGGGUGUUUGUGGCACAACUGAUCUUGCUCAAACUAUUGCCAGGGAUGAAAAG
rnacentral:misc_RNA from 1 species